GAUGAACGCUGGCGGCGUGCUUAACACAUGCAAGUCGAACGGGGUUAUGCUGGAAUCUUCGAGUAGUUUACUAUGAGGAGUGGAAGGUGUAACUUAGUGGCGGACGGGUGAGUAACGCGUGAGGAUCUGUCUAUAGCAGGGGGACAACAGUUGGAAACGGCUGCUAAUACCGCAUAUGCCCUUUGGGGUGAAAGGAUGGUAACAUCCGGCGAUGGAGGAACUCGCGUCCUAUCAGCUAGUAGGUGAGGUAAGAGCUUACCUAGGCGAAGACGGGUAGCCGGCCUGAGAGGGCGCACGGCCACACUGGGACUGAGAUACGGCCCAGACUCCUACGGGAGGCAGCAGUGGGGAAUAUUGGGCAAUGGGGGGAACCCUGACCCAGCGACGCCGCGUGAGUGACGAAGUCUUUCGGGACGUAAAGCUCUUUUGUACGGGAAGAAGACGAUGACGGUACCGUACGAAUAAGCCCCGGCAAACUACGUGCCAGCAGCCGCCGUAACAC
rnacentral:rRNA from 1 species